rnacentral:rRNA from 1 species
GAUAAACGCUGGCGGCGUGCCUAAUGCAUGCAAGUCGUACGGAGCAGCACUUCGGUGCUGUUGAGUGGCGAACGGGUGAGGAACGCGUGGACAACCUACCCCGGCGUGGGGGAUACCCGCCAGAAAUGGCGGCUAAUACCGCGUACGGUCGUCUGACGAGGGGUGAGACGAAGAAAGCCGUGAGGCGCGCUGGGAGGGGUCUGCGGCCGAUUAGCUGGUUGGUGGGGUAGUGGCUCACCAAGGCGAUGAUCGGUAGCUGGUCUGAGAGGAUGAUCAG